GCCAGUGUGGUGCAGUGGUUUGAGCGUCGGACUAAGACUCUGGAGACCAGAGUUCGAAUCUCAGCUCAGCCA